rnacentral:rRNA from 1 species
AAUGGCUGCAGUAAUAUAACUGUACAAAGGUAGCAUAAUCAUUAGUUUUUUAAUUAAAAGCUUGUAUGAAAGGUUGGACGAGGUAAAAUCUGUCUCUUUUUAAUAUAAUUAGAAUUUAAUUUUUAAGUAAAAAAGCUUAAAUUUAUAUAAAAGACGAGAAGACCCUAUAGAGUUUAAUAAUUUAUUUUAAAUAAUUAAUUUAGAUUUAUUUAUUUUAUUUAUUAUAUAAUUAUUUUAUUGGGGUAAUAAAAAGAUAAAUAUAAUUCUUUUUUUUAUUUUACAUUAAUAUAUGAAUUAAUGAUCCAUUUUUAUGAUUAAAAGAUUAAAUUACCUUAGGGAUAACAGCGUAAUUUUUUUAAAGAGUUCAUAUCGAUAAAAAAGUUUGCGACCUCGAUGUUGGAUUAAAGAUUAGUUUAGGUGUAGAAGUUUAAAUUUUUGGUCUGUUCGACCAUUAAAUCUUUACAUGAUCUGAGUUCAAACCGGUGUAAGCCAGGUUGGUUUCUAUCUUUAUAAAAUUUUUAUAUUUUAGUACGAAAGGACCAAAUAUUUAAUAUAUUAAUAUUUAAUAUUUUGAAUAU